GCAAGCCCCAAGCUUGCCCAUUUGGGCAGAAGGAUCCUCCUCAGAUCGUCACCGGUGAGUGCUCUGUGGUGCAUCACUGGGUGAAUGGUGGAGGGGAUUCAAAGGCCGGGGGGCCUGGUGUGGCCCCCCGGCUAGGUAGGGCUAGGCCUGACAACUGCUCUGACAUUGCUCUGACGUUGCUCACGGGUGCUGGGUAGGCUUCCUUAGACUGAGUUUCUCUGUGUUGAGUUGCUUCUUUCAGCUCACCGAGGAUGACCUGGAGUACUCGGCUGAACCUAUACCAGAUCAUGGAGGAACACAUCCAAGCAAGUCUUGAAUAUCUCCAAGCCUCUUCCAGUGUUCUGUCACCCUCACAGUCAAAAAUUCUUUGUGUUUACUUGAAACUUCCUAUGCUUCAGCUUCUAGCCAUUGCCCUUGUCCUGUCAUCAGGCAUCGCCAAGAAGAGCCUGGCUCCAUCCUCCUGGCACUCAUUUCUCCUUCUGUGUUUCUGCAGGAACUCCUAAUUUCCAGUCUAUGCAGCACAGGAACCAAUAUUCCUAGAUUCUCUCUUUGCUGUCCUCGUUUCUACUCCAUGCUCAAUUUGCUUCUGGUUGAUGUAAAGAGGGAGAUGAGCUGUGCUGUGCUUAUUUGUCCUGAGGCUCAGCGGGGGUGCGUGUGUGCGCUCGCCUUGAUGUCGUGUGUGAGGCUUUUGUUCUGAGUACCAAAGUCCUCUCUGAACUCGAGCCUCUUGUGCAGUGUUAUAACAGCACAGUGCACUGACAGGAGCAGUAAAUCCUAUAUAUGACAGAGGAAAUAACGUAUUGACCUGCUGAGGGAUUUGCAUACCUACAAGGAAUGAAAGCAAGCCGAGCCUGUAAGGGCGACUCGUUCUACUUUCCAUCUCCACUAUCCAGUGUUUACAGAUGAAUGGUUCAGGUAGAACUGUGCAUGGAUUUAAGAACGGUCCUAAUCCAGUAUAUUCUUAUAUCCAGGCUGUUACUAACUGUUAUCCACUGUUACAUCUUUGUAUGAGAGUAAUAAAUGCUGCUGCCCUGCAUGCUUUAAAUCCACAGUGCCUGUGGCUGUGCUGCUGAAAAGAAUGGUUAUGUACUUCCCAAAGGCAUGCAGAGAUGCUAGCUUUUUCAAAUGAUUCCUCUGAUCUUUCAUUAGUAAGCAUUUAAUUUCUAGGAGCGUCUCGCAUUACAAAUACUUGGCUGUCUUUCUUUGCCUGUGAGCUCCUGAGGUCAAAAGAGGCUCACAGAGGAAUUUCAGGAGUGUGAUCCCCAGAGGACAACAGAACUGAGGUCUCUCUCUUCCUGUUCUGCAAAUGUGGCAUCAUGUCUUCAGGGCGACCUGGAUCCUGACAGUCAUGGGAGCAAGGACACAGCAUGGAUUUCCAUUUGAUUCCUGGUACAGAAAAGAGAUCUGAGACAAAAAUCAAUAUGUGACUGAACUAUGAGAGUUCCUUUUCACAAUUAAUUUUAUCUAAGGGAUCAUUUCUUCUCUUCUUGUGCAAAUAUAAUUAACAGCUACUAUUUGUUUUUUCUGGUGUUGCUUCUUUGUGUGGCAAAGGCCUAAUCUUGAGAUUAAAUAGGUUGCAAUUUAAAAAUUUGGGAGGUAUACACAAUAAAUGUCAACAACCAUUUUAUAAGGGAGGCUGAAGGUAAUGCUUGCAUUUCAAGAUGUAGGAUUUCACUUUUUUUUCUCACGUGAUGCAAUAUUUUCAGACAGCAAUUCACAGUUCUGGUCAGAUGUUUCAGUUCAAAGUGGUUUUAUCAAUGACAACUAUAGAAAGCCCUGCCUAUCUGAAAUAAGCAUCUUAGCAGUUCUCUUUGAGGCACUGAUCUCUUUCCUAAAGGAAUAGACAAGCUGCUAAAAGAACACAUUUUUGUUUUGCCUUGGUUGUAUUUGUUUGAAGGCUCUGAGCUUAAUCUUCCUGCACAAGAAUAAAUCACAAUAAAAUCCCUUGUGAAAACAAAGUUGUGACACUUGGCUCAAAACCUUUUGGUUGAUUUUAUCAAAUCAGCAUUAAAUAAAACUGGCUUAUUCAGACAAGUUUA